rnacentral:lncRNA from 1 species
AUGGAAAUGACAGGAGGACAAGAAGGUUGUCCAGCAAUAGGAAAACAAGUUGCUCGCAAGUCGUUCCUCUUUAAAGACUACUCCAGUCGGCGUGUCAGUCAGUCCAGGCAGCGGCUGUGGGAGGAGCUCCUCGGGAGGAGGCUGGCGAGGCUGAGAGAGCCAGGGAAUGGAGCGGAGAAGAGCGCGUACAUGAGCGAAGAGGAGGUAGGCGCCGGGAGAGCGAGCGAGGCUGAGCAACUAAACUCCAUCUCCGCCUUAGCAGCAGAAGCAGGAGCCGCCGCCGCCGCCGCUAUUGCUGCCAACCCAGCGAACGCUUCGCCGGUGUGUAGGAAGAGGGCUUCGGCAAGAGAAGAAGGCAGGCGAGAGCAUCGGGAGGCAGAUAAAGCUAGCCCCCGAAACUGCUUAAGCGCGCAAGUUCGUCUCUCUUAUUUCCCCGCCGAACUCUUAAGGAAUGAAAGCUUUUCAGACAGAUCUCGUCCUCCUCUGCUUCUUCCUCUUCAGUCAAGAUUCACCCUUCACCAAUUCUUGAUCCCAAGGAUGGGUUACAACAUAAACGUACAAUACCAAUUUCAUUAA